UAGGGAAUCUUCCGCAAUGGACGCAAGUCUGACGGAGCAACGCCGCGUGAGUGAAGAAGGAUUUCGGUUCGUAAAACUCUGUUGUUAGAGAAGAACAGCGCAUAGAGUAACUGUUAUGCGUGUGACGGUAUCUAACCAGAAAGCCACGGCUAACUACGUGCCAGCAGCCGCGGUAAUACGUAGGUGGCAAGCGUUGUCCGGAUUUAUUGGGCGUAAAGCGAGCGCAGGCGGUCAAUUAAGUCUGAUGUGAAAGCCCCCGGCUCAACCGGGGAGGGUCAUUGGAAACUGGUUGACUUGAGUGCAGAAGAGGAGAGUGGAAUUCAAUGUGUAGCGGUGAAAUGCGUAGAUAUAUGGAGGAACACCAGUAGCGAAGGCGACUCUCUGGUCUGUAACUGACGCUGAUGAUCGAAAGCGUGGGUAGCAAACAGG
rnacentral:rRNA from 1 species